UACAGAGGGGGCAAGCGUUAUUCGGAAUUAUUGGGCGUAAAGGGCGCGUAGGCGGCUUGGCAAGUGGAAGGUGAAAUCCCUCGGCUUAACCGAGGAACUGCCCUCCAAACUGCUUGGCUCGAGUAUGGAAGAGGGUCGCGGAAUUCCCGGUGUAGAGGUGAAAUGCGCAGAUAUCAGGAGGAACACCGGUGGCGAAGGCGGUGAUCUGGGCCGACACUGACGCUGUAGAGCGAAAGCGUGGGGAGCGAACAGG
rnacentral:rRNA from 1 species